rnacentral:rRNA from 1 species
UACGUAGGUGGCAAGCGUUGUCCGGAUUUACUGGGCGUAAAGGGCGUGCAGGCGGUUUGUUAAGUCUAGGGUGAAAGCUCCCGGCUCAACUGGGAGAGGUCCUUGGAUACUGACAGACUUGAGGGAGGCAGAGGAGAAUGGAAUUCCCGGUGUAGUGGUGAUAUGCGUAGAUAUCGGGAGGAACACCAGUGGCGAAGGCGGUUCUCUGGGCCUUACCUGACGCUGAGACGCGAAAGCGUGGGGAGCGAACCGG